rnacentral:rRNA from 1 species
AGUGAACGCUGGCGGUAGGCCUAACACAUGCAAGUCGAACGGCAGCACAGUAAGAGCUUGCUCUUACGGGUGGCGAGUGGCGGACGGGUGAGGAAUACAUCGGAAUCUACUUUUUCGUGGGGGAUAACGUAGGGAAACUUACGCUAAUACCGCAUACGACCUACGGGUGAAAGCAGGGGAUCUUCGGACCUUGCGCGAUUGAAUGAGCCGAUGUCGGAUUAGCUAGUUGGCGGGGUAAAGGCCCACCAAGGCGACGAUCCGUAGCUGGUCUGAGAGGAUGAUCAGCCACACUGGAACUGAGACACGGUCCAGACUCCUACGGGAGGCAGCAGUGGGGAAUAUUGGACAAUGGGCGCAAGCCUGAUCCAGCCAUACCGCGUGGGUGAGGAGGGCCUUCGGGUUGUAAAGCCCUUUUGUUGGGAAAGAAAAGCAGCAGGUUAAUACCCCGCUGUUCUGACGGUACCCAAAGAAUAAGCACCGGCUAACUUCGUG